rnacentral:rRNA from 1 species
UUGAACGCUGGCGGCAUGCCUUACACAUGCAAGUCGAACGGCAGCACGGGGGCAAUCCUGGUGGCGAGUGGCGAACGGGUGAGUAAUAUAUCGGAACGUGCCCAGUCGUGGGGGAUAACGCAGCGAAAGCUGUGCUAAUACCGCAUACGUCCUGAGGGAGAAAGCGGGGGAUCGCAAGACCUCGCGCGUUUGGAGCGGCCGAUAUCUGAUUAGCUAGAUGGUGGGGUAAAGGCUCACCAUGGCGACGAUCAGUAGCUGGUCUGAGAGGAUGAUCAGCCACACUGGAACUGAGACACGGUCCAGACUCCUACGGGAGGCAGCAGUGGGGAAUUUUGGACAGUGGGGGAAACCCUGAUCCAGCCAUUCCGCGUGAGUGAAGAAGGCCUUCGGGUUGUAAAGCUCUUUCGGCAGGAACGAAACGGCGGAAUCUAAUACAUUCCACUAAUGACGGUACCUGAAGAAGAAGCACCGGCUAACUACGU